rnacentral:lncRNA from 1 species
AUGUUAGGAAUAGAAUGUGGGGUUCUCCAAAGUCAACUUUGGGUUAUUAAAACGCAUUUGUUAGGCUCUGAAAGUAACUCCACACCGUUUAAAAACUCACUCUCUCACCGCUGGUGUCACUCUCUGUUCCCCUGCAGGUUGGUUUUCCCCCCGGUCACCAUGAUAACCAUCUCUCUCUGUUCCCCUGCAGGUUGGAAGGUUUUCCCCCCCGGUCACCAUGAUAACCAUCUCUCUCUGUUCCCCUGCAGGUUGGAUGGUUUUCCCCCAGCCCCGGUCACCAUGAUAACCAUCUCUCUCUGUUCCCCUGCAGGUUGGAUGGUUUUCCCCCACCCCGGUCACCAUGAUAACCAUCUCUCUCUGUUCCCCUGCAGGUUGGAUGGUUUUCCCCCCGGUCCCAUGAUAACCAUCUCUCUCUGUUCCCCUGCAGGUUGGAUGUUUCCCCCAGCCCCGGUCACCAUGAUAACCAUCUCUCUCUGUUCCCCUCAGGUUGAGAUGGCUUUCCCCCAGCCCCGGUCACCAUGAUAACCAUCUCUCUCUGUUCCCCUGCAGGUUGGAUGGUUUUCCCCCAGCCCCGGUCACCAUGAGCACCAUCUCUCCCACCGACUUCGACAGCCAGGAGAUCCAGCAGCAGUACAAUGACAUCAACAACCGCUGGGACCUGGCUGCAGAGACCAACUGGGACAAUGAGAACAGCUCGGCACGCCUCUUUGAGCGCUCGCGCAUCAAAGCUCUGGCAGGUGGGACAACCCAAUGUGUUAGUGUGUGUGUAUUGUGCAUACAUGUGAUGUGUGUCAGGGUAUAGAACCAGAUGUGUGUUCCAAGUACACCCUCCUGUGCUGGAACAUGACCAGCCAUGCAGGUUGCAGUAGUGUGGAGGGCCCAGCAGAGGGAGCAACAGGCAACCAGAGGCAGCAGCAUCAGGCACCUCUGUUUUGCAAAAAUACUGAUCUCUCUGUGGUAGUCACAGUCUCAAACACACCCCACCCUUCACAGACACACCACACCACACUGGAGGAAAAACAACUGACACCACAACUCCAGACUGUGAGUACAUGAUAGUACACUGAUACUAGUAUACUGUUGAAAGGUUAGUCUCACCAUCACACAUUGAAAAGCAACCACUCUCUCUGUGGUAACAGACCCGUUCAGACCCUGUCACCAUCAUAAUGUCAUAUGUAUGUUAAUGUAUGUAGAUGUUUAACCACUAACCAAAUGCCUUAUGGAUCAGUUAUGGAAAGGAGAACAGAGCUGUGUGUUGGCUGUUUGUCAUCUUCUCCGACAUAACUUCAUAACACCUCGGCAAUAGAUCACACUGAACUGACUAACAAACUAGUAUGACCCGAGUUGUGGAGAUGUGUGUGUGUGUAGUUAGAGGAGCUGUGUGUGUUUGUGUAUUCAUACAGUAUUUUCCACAAGACUCCAUAAGUGUGGGUGUGUGUGCUCUUUACUCCCUGGGAAUGCUGCUGACACGUCUCCUUUUUACAAGUAGGGGCUUGAUGUGCACAUUCUUUGACACUUUGCAACAGCUACAGUAGCUCCCCCUCCCCCACAAGCACCCUGCAUUUCUUCUACACUUUUUCAGUGAUUCCCCUAGGAUUUUUGGGGGCAGCGGUGGAAAAGUUGGCAGGCUGGGGAGGGUGUGGCCAAUGGUGCAGUUGCAAGGUUAGCUUGGGUGGGUGUGGCAAAUGGCACGGUUUUAGAGGCCCUUUUCUUGCUGUUUUAAAGCAAUUUUCAUGCAAUUUGACACAUUUUGGGGUUACACAUGGGGUGGAGAAAAUGUUGUAGUUUUAAAACUAGUUCCCUGCAAUUCUACACAUUUUGUCAUGGGUCUGAGAGAAAAAUUGCAGUUUCAAAGCUAAUUUUACAUUCUCCCUGACUGUCUAGUUUUUAUUUUGGUGCUUGUUACUUCUCCAAGAUGAUCUUAUUUAAAAAAAUAUAUAGCAUAGGGGAAACUAGGUCUGGCCCCAUUUAGUCGUCUGGUCGAUAGGUUGUUGGUUGACCAAUAUUUUUUUAGUCGAGCAGUGGCAAAUAGAUCAUUAUUUUUCGUGGUACACAAGACACCUGUCUGAUUUGCACCUGUCUCAAUGGACUAAUCCAUUGAGGAGGCCGCGGGGGUACCACAGUCCAAGAAAAAGUGGAGUGUGGCUAAGCUGCACAAGACACGUCGCUCUUCAGAAUGCACUUUCUCCCGCUAUUUCCUGCAUAUUCAUUGUUUCAUAAGUUCAUUAUGUGCAUUGUUUGCUGUUCAUCAAUUCCCUUUUACAUAUAUCACCAGUAGUAGCCUACAUUUACCAUUAGUUCACAUAAUUUCUAUAAUAAUUUGUUUGGUUAUUGUCAUUUCUGUUA